GAACCGUACAAACGUUAUUCGGAAUCACUGGGCUUAAAGGGUGCGUAGGCGGCCUGGCAAGUUGGGUGUGAAAUCCCUCGGCUCAACCGAGGAACUGCGCCCAAAACUGCUAGGCUUGAGGGAGAUAGAGGUGAGCGGAACUUAGGGUGGAGCGGUGAAAUGCGUUGAUAUCCUAAGGAACACCGGUGGCGAAAGCGGCUCACUGGAUCUCUUCUGACGCUGAGGCACGAAAGCUAGGGUAGCGAACGGGGAUUAGAUACCCCGGUGGUCCUAGCUGUAAACGAUGAGCACUGGGUUGGAGGCCCCCCCCCCCCAUAGGCUUCCGGCCGAAGCGAAAGUGUUAAGUGCUCCGCCUGGGGAGUAUGGUCGCAAGGCUG
rnacentral:rRNA from 1 species